rnacentral:lncRNA from 1 species
UUUCAUCGUACCAAUUUGAAAGGUUUGAAUCAAUCAUGCUACAAAUCAAAAUUUGGAUAAUAUCUAUACAAUUUUGAAUUUUUUUUAACAAUUAUCACAUUUUUAUACUUUGUACACUCACUUCGAUUGAUACUUUCUUUGUAUUUGAUGAAGCUACCAAACACCUGGACUGUUGACUUUUAAUUCAAUGCAAAAAUAUCUUCCCAAACGACAGCCCAAAAUUAUGGACAAAACGCACAACAUAAAUACCUAAACAAUCUGAUCCGAUUGGUUUGUUUAGCGAAAACUCCGAUCACCGGGUAAAAUUCCGGUGCCGGAGAUUUACCCGGUGAAAUUAUAGUAACCCAUGGAUUCCCCAGAGAUUCGUGAGGAAGAGCUGGAGAAAAUGAAUAAAAAUAGUCUCGGUUACAGAGUUUUCCGUUCCUGUUUUGCCCUUGCCUUUUGUGGACUGUUGACUUUUAAUUCAAUGCAAAAAUAUCUUCCCAAACGACAGCCCAAAAUUAUGGACAAAACGCACAACAUAAAUACCUAAACAAUCUGAUCCGAUUGGUUUGUUUAGCGAAAACUCCGAUCACCGGGUAAAAUUCCGGUGCCGGAGAUUUACCCGGUGAAAUUAUAGUAACCCAUGGAUUCCCCAGAGAUUCGUGAGGAAGAGCUGGAGAAAAUGAAUAAAAAUA